rnacentral:tRNA from 1 species
GCCUCUAUAGCUCAGUCGGUAGAGCGACUGAUUCGUAAUCAGUAGGCCGGGGGUUCAAUUCCCCCUAGAGGCU